rnacentral:rRNA from 1 species
UGUGAACGCUGGCGGUAGGCCUAACACAUGCAAGUCGAACGGCAGCACAGUAAGAGCUUGCUCUUACGGGUGGCGAGUGGCGGACGGGUGAGGAAUACAUCGGAAUCUACUUUUUCGUGGGGGAUAACGUAGGGAAACUUACGCUAAUACCGCAUACGACCUACGGGUGAAAGCAGGGGAUCUUCGGACCUUGCGCGAUUGAAUGAGCCGAUGUCGGAUUAGCUAGUUGGCGGGGUAAAGGCCCACCAAGGCGACGAUCCGUAGCUGGUCUGAGAGGAUGAUCAGCCAGACUGGAACUGAGACACGGUCCAGACUCCUACGGGAGGCAGCAGUGGGGAAUAUUGGACAAUGGGCGAAAGCCUGAUCCAGCCAUACCGCGUGGGUGAAGAAGGCCUUCGGGUUGUAAAGCCCUUUUGUUGGGAAAGAAAAGCAGCAGGUUAAUACCCCGCUGUUCUGACGGUACCCAAAGAAUAAGCACCGGCUAACUUCGUG